AGGACCUAUGGGACACAAUUAUUGCAGUACGUAGAUGAUUUAUUACUAUCUGAUAAGUAAGAAAUUGAGUUUAGAAUAAGAAAGAAGGCAUACCAGAAAGGAUUAAAGUGGGAAGCAGAGGGAUAAAUUGAUGAGACUGCUUUAAAAAGAAAAGACACAGAUUAUCCUUUGGGGCACCCAUAAACUGAGAGGACUAAAAAAAU